rnacentral:rRNA from 1 species
UAGGACGUUGAUAGGCAAGGUGUGUAAGCGUUGUGAGGCGUUGAGCUAACUUGUACUAAUGACUCGUGAGGCUUAACCAUACAACCCUAAUGGGUUUU